CCCGCUCCGGGCCGCCUCCCGGCUACCUUGACGAAGUAGAACGCCGGUCCGGGCUUGAGGAUGACGUUCUCGUUGUUCUGCUGGUACUCCACGUACUUCUCCAGCCCAUGGUCUUCGUAGAUCUUCUGCUCCUCCACCAGGGAAUGCGUAUUCCAUUUCUGGUUCAGGUCCCCUCCCUCCUUUUGGCAAGUUAAGCUUUUGGGAGAAAACAGCAUUUUUCUUGAGAGUGUGGAAGGAUAACAGCAAUGACAAAAGCAACACCAGUAACAAAAAAAGUAAUGUUUCCAGUUGGAGGCUUCUACAAUUUAGUAGUACUGCAGGACUUUGCCUGGCAAGCCCUGUGGAGGGCUCCAAAGCCAGAAACUACAAAUUCACCAAAAGAUGGAGAGCUUGUGAGAACGACAAAGAUUCCCCAAGGAUCUUCACCCAAGGAUCUUCAGAGUAGUUAUGUUGGGUAUUGUUGUGUCAAUAUGGCAACAAUAAAGAGCACAGGGCAACUAGCAAGUGCCUGUACAGCCUAGAGUGGCCCAGUGCUGCUGUGCCUCUUCCUGGCAGUAUCAGUUCAGGUUUACUCAUGGGCUGUAGCAACCAAUAUUGUCAGCCUGUUGCUGUGUAAGCACAACUCAACAAGUAGCUUCUGUUCAUCUGAAAUACAUAUUCUGUCAUUUUGCUGGGGUUGUAUGUAUAUUACUGUGCGAAAUUCGGUGGUCUGUGGCAUGAGGGAGGUUAUACAAGUUGAUAGGAAGGGCUGUUUGUGUAUUUCAACUCAGUGAAUCGCUGGGGGAUCGGAUUGAGUGUAGUAUCUGGAGAGAACCUGACAGGUUGUAGUGGCCUGUUUAAAUUUGUUGCUUCUCUAAUGACAGUUCUAGCCACUGCCAGCUUUUGGUUUUAAUUAAAGUGCAUUAAAUGUUUUUGUGACCUGCAGCCAUGUCCUUUUAUUUUGCGAUGUCUGCUUGCAGAGACUCAGAGGAUUAUUGUAAAUCAGGAUUUGUGUGAUGCUGGGAGGCAACUGUUGAGUCAGAAGGCUGAGCUGGUCCUGAAUUCACCCUCUAACCACAUCAUUGCAAUACCCACUGCUAGUAAAUUAAUGCAAAUUUUCUUUCUUUCUAGUUUUGACUCAAAGUUUUGAAUACAACCUAGUAUCUUCAACUUAUUUUCAGCUGAUUUGAUUGCUAGUUGUUUGAUAAAAAACCUACUUAUAUCUCUCUCAGUAGGUAUUGCUUCUCUAAUAUCCUUCCCAUUUGUGUUAAUCAAAUAAAAAUACAUGACUUCUUAUCCAGGCAGGAGGUGUGUGAUGAAAUAUGUUGUUUAGCAAAUCCAGAAGUAAGCAGUGCUUAUCACUACUGGUACCAUUUGUUCUCCAGUCUGGAUCCAUUCAUUCCUACUGAAGAGACACAGUUCCAGUUGAUACUUGUAUCUCAAAUAAUAUCACAGCUAUAUGUACCUGGUAUUUCUCACUGUCUCCUUUAAUUGGUUUUAUAUUGUUUGUUCUUAUAUAUGACCUUCUUCCACAUCUUUUAAAAUAAGUUCUAUUCAAAAUCCUGUCCUUCCUGCCACUAGUGAGAUAUUUUCAUCAGGAGAAAUCUCAAAUGAGCCACAGCAGACCUUCUGUGACAGGGGUUGCAUACAGCCCACACAAAAGUUAAAUCUUUUAACACUUAAUAGACCAUCCCAGAAAUGGAAAGUGGCAUUGAAGUAACGGGGUUUGUUUUGUUUGCUUUUGAAAGGGGAAAGUUGCACUAUGUAAUUUUCUUUUUCUGGUCCUGUAAGAAUUGUUUAAGUUAAAAACCCUUUGUAAAGUCCCUUAGAUCUCCAGUUCAUCUGAAUUUCAUCAAAUUAUUAAUCCUUGUCAGUCAUGAAUGUCAAAAAAGUACCCCUGGGAGCAGGAAAAAAAUUAAAUCCUGCAGAUCUAGUUUACCUCGCUAUAACAGCAUCUGAAUAGUUCAGAAACUUUUGCCAAAAAGCUCUUGAUACUUUAGGAUAGAUUUUGUUUAUCUUUUGCUUUUGUUGGGGUUUUUGUGGGUGGUUUUCUGUUGGUUUUGUUUUUGUUUGGGUGGGUUUUUUUGCUUGGUUUGUUGGUAGGUUUUGAUUUUGGUUUGGAUUUUCUUCUGUGAAUUGCAGCAUCUUGGCAGGAGGUUUUUGGGUAUCUAGGUGAGAAAGGAUUAUUCUCAGUGCAGGUUAAUUCUUGCUAAGUCAAGUAUAUCUUUCCUGAUUGUGUGUAAACAGAUUUUCCAAAGCCUCAAAAUUUGGUAAAUUUAACUUCCAGAAGUACAAAAAAGUUGCUUUAAAGUAUUAAUGCAACUCAAAUGAUAUAUUUUUCUGUAGCUACAUUCUAAGAAGAGAAAGACAAAUUUUGCUAAAAUAACUUUUUUUCAGUGCAGGUUGAAAUAAUAAUUGUAACAAUAACAAUAACAAUCAUCAUCAUCAUCAUCAUAAUCACC